GACGAACGCUGGCGGCGUGCUUAACACAUGCAAGUCGAACGGAAAGGCCCUGCUUUUGUGGGGUGCUCGAGUGGCGAACGGGUGAGUAGCACGUGAGUAACCUGCCCUUGACUUUGGGAUAACUUCAGGAAACUGGGGCUAAUACCGGAUAGGAGCUCCUGCUGCAUGGUGGGGGUUGGAAAGUUUCGGCGGUUGGGGAUGGACUCGCGGCUUAUCAGCUUGUUGGUGGGGUAGUGGCUUACCAAGGCUUUGACGGGUAGCCGGCCUGAGAGGGUGACCGGCCACAUUGGGACUGAGAUACGGCCCAGACUCCUACGGGAGGCAGCAGUGGGGAAUAUUGCACAAUGGGCGGAAGCCUGAUGCAGCAACGCCGCGUGCGGGAUGACGGCCUUCGGGUUGUAAACCGCUUUCGCCUGUGACGAAGCGUGAGUGACGGUAAUGGGUAAAGAAGCACCGGCUAACUACGUGCCAGCAGCCGCGGUGAUACGUAGGGUGCGAGCGUUGUCCGGAUUUAUUGGGCGUAAAGGGCUCGUAGGUGGUUGAUCGCGUCGGAAGUGUAAUCUUGGGGCUUAACCCUGAGCGUGCUUUCGAUACGGGUUGACUUGAGGAAGGUAGGGGAGAAUGGAAUUCCUGGUGGAGCGGUGGAAUGCGCAGAUAUCAGGAGGAACACCAGUGGCGAAGGCGGUUCUCUGGGCCUUUCCUGACGCUGAGGAGCGAAAGCGUGGGGAGCGAACAGGCUUAGAUACCCUGGUAGUCCACGCUGUAAACGGUGGGUACUAGGUGUGGGGUCCAUUCCACGGGUUCCGUGCCGUAGCUAACGCUUUAAGUACCCCGCCUGGGGAGUACGGCCGCAAGGCUAAAACUCAAAGGAAUUGACGGGGCCCCGCACAAGCGGCGGAGCAUGCGGAUUAAUUCGAUGCAACGCGUAGAACCUUACCUGGGUUUGACAUGGAUCGGGAGUGCUCAGAGAUGGGUGUGCCUCUUUUGGGGUCGGUUCACAGGUGGUGCAUGGCUGUCGUCAGCUCGUGUCGUGAGAUGUUGGGUUAAGUCCCGCAACGAGCGCAACCCUUGUUCACUGUUGCCAGCACGUUAUGGUGGGGACUCAGUGGAGACCGCCGGGGUCAACUCGGAGGAAGGUGGGGAUGACGUCAAGUCAUCAUGCCCCUUAUGUCCAGGGCUUCACGCAUGCUACAAUGGCUGGUACAGAGAGUGGCGAGCCUGUGAGGGUGAGCGAAUCUCGGAAAGCCGGUCUCAGUUCGGAUUGGGGUCUGCAACUCGACCUCAUGAAGUCGGAGUCGCUAGUAAUCGCAGAUCAGCAACGCUGCGGUGAAUACGUUCCCGGG
rnacentral:rRNA from 1 species